rnacentral:rRNA from 1 species
GACAGAGGGUGCAAACGUUGCUCGGAAUUACUGGGCGUAAAGCGCGUGUAGGUGGAUUGGUGUGUCAGAUGUGAAAGCCCUGGGCUCAACCCAGGAACUGCACCUGAAACUACCAGUCUUGAGUGGUGGAGAGGGAAGUGGAAUUCCUGGUGUAGUGGUGAAAUUCGUAGAUAUCAGGAGGAACACCAGUGGCGAAGGCGGCUUCCUGGACACCAACUGACGCUGAGACGCGAAAGCGUGGGGAGCAAACAGG